UACACAUGUGCGGGGUUGGGGGGGAUCCUAUAAAAGUGGGUCCCACUUAUCCCUCCUCCCUCUUCCCGCACGGUCAUUCUCCAUAGGCCUGGGCACACCCCUUCUGUUCCCUUCCCUUAAUAAACUCUUAGAGUAGGCUUUGUUGUGCCUCCUGGCUUUUCUCACACAGUAAACAGCACCGUUUAAUGAAUAACAUUGCACCGCUUAAUAAAUAACAUUGGUGCCAAGACGAAGCAGGCCCUCCUGGUGCUCUGGGCCCGGGACCCUGUACCGAGGUUUAUUCUAUCUACGACUGCCCACUUUUCCAUGUGCCCAGUUACUGGACUGCUUCACACAACACCAGCCGCUUCUAUUGGACCUUGUCAGACCCAAACAGUCACAGAGCCUGAAGCAGCGGAAGAUGAUGGACGAUUCCCAAAGCAGCAGAGGACAGUCCAUUACCUCAGGACAUCUGGCUACCCCAAAAGCCCCUUUCCUAACCCCUAAGUUAACCGAUACCCACCAAGUCAGCUGGAAGUAGUUUUGGGAGACAUGGUGCCCCCAUUCCCAUUUACCUGCCUUUAUUUUAUUUUAUUUUAUUUUUAUAAAAGAACAAAGUCUGGAGUGUUAGAAUUCUUAACCCCUCCCCCAGCUACAUGACUGUGCUUGUGUGUGUGUGCGCUGGCAAGACACUUAGUCACCCAGGGCCUUGUGUCCUACAUAAUCCGUGCGCUGUGUGGUCACGUAAUCUAUGUGCAUGCGUGGUGUAGUAUGUAAGCCCAUGUGCACAUGUGUGGGGCUGGGGGGGGGAUGAUCCUACAAAAGUGGGUUCCACUUAUCCCUCCUCCCUCUCCCUGCACAGUCAUUCCCAUAGGCCUGGGUACCCCUUCUGUUCCCUUCCCUUAAUAAACUCUUAGAGUGGC